rnacentral:rRNA from 1 species
AGAGUUUGAUCCUGGCUCAGAUUGAACGCUGGCGGCAGGCUUAACACAUGCAAGUCGAGCGGUAACAGGAGUAGCUUGCUACCCGCUGACGAGCGGCGGACGGGUGAGUAACGCGUAGAAAUCUGCCUAGUAGUGGGGGAUAGCCCAGAGAAAUUUGGAUUAAUACCGCAUACGCCCUACGGGGGAAAGAAGGGGACCUUCGGGCCUUUUGCUAUUAGAUGAGUCUGCGUCGGAUUAGCUAGUUGGUGGGGUAAUGGCCUACCAAGGCGACGAUCCGUAGCUGGUCUGAGAGGAUGAUCAGCCACACUGGGACUGAGACACGGCCCAGACUCCUACGGGAGGCAGCAGUGGGGAAUAUUGCACAAUGGGCGCAAGCCUGAUGCAGCCAUGCCGCGUGUGUGAAGAAGGCCUUAGGGUUGUAAAGCACUUUCAGCAGUGAGGAAAGGAAUGUAGUUAAUAACUGCAUUCUGUGACGUUAACUGCAGAAGAAGGACCGGCUAACUCCGUGCCAGCAGCCGCGGUAAU